rnacentral:rRNA from 1 species
UACGUAGGUGCGAGCGUUAUCCGGAAUUAUUGGGCGUAAAGAGCUCGUAGGCGGUUUGUCACGUCUGCUGUGAAAGCCCAGGGCUUAACCCUGGGUUUGCAGUGGGUACGGGCAGGCUGGAGUGCAGUAGGGGAGACUGGAAUUCCUGGUGUAGCGGUGAAAUGCGCAGAUAUCAGGAGGAACACCGAUGGCGAAGGCAGGUCUCUGGGCUGUUACUGACGCUGAGGAGCGAAAGCAUGGGGAGCGAACAGG